rnacentral:lncRNA from 1 species
CCUCACUGGUGAAUUCCCAGGUGACUACGGAUGGGACACUGCUGGACUCUCGGCUGAUCCAGAGACGUUUGCCAGAAACCGUGAGCUUGAGGUGAUCCACUGCCGUUGGGCCAUGCUUGGUGCUUUGGGCUGUGUCUUCCCUGAAAUCCUUUCCAAGAACGGUGUCAAAUUUGGUGAGGCUGUUUGGUUCAAAGCUGGAUCCCAAAUCUUCUCAGAAGGUGGACUUGACUACCUCGGCAACCCAAACCUUAUCCACGCCCAAAGCAUCCUCGCCAUUUGGGCCUGCCAAGUUGUUCUCAUGGGCUUUGUUGAAGGAUACAGGGUUGGUGGAGGCCCACUUGGUGAGGGUCUUGACAAGAUCUACCCAGGAGGUGCCUUUGACCCACUUGGUCUGGCUGAUGAUCCCGAGGCUUUUGCUGAAUUGAAGGUCAAGGAAAUCAAGAAUGGACGCUUGGCAAUGUUCUCCAUGUUUGGAUUCUUUGUUCAGGCCAUUGUUACUGGAAAGGGCCCAAUUGAGAACCUCUUUGACCACAUUAAUGACCCAGUCGCCAACAACGCUUGGGCUUACGCCACAAACUUUGUUCCCGGAAAGUGAAGUAAUUAGGGCUAUGUAAUCUGUAAACUUUGGGCUAAUGAAGUUUUAUGCUUGUCAAAGAUUGCCUUGUACCUUGAUGCUCUAUUUAACAUGCUCUGAUAUUUACCAACAUAUAGUAAUGUUUCUCACUGUUCUAGUUUUGUUUUUUGUACCCCUAAAUAUAAUCUUCCCUUUUAGUUAUCACAUUUUGGUUACUGAUUUGUCCACUAGCUUCCAAAGCUAGAUUAGAAACCUUCUUUCAAUAUUCUCACCAAUGGGAGUCGAUCAGAAAUGCCAUAAUGUGUUAAUAUGGUAUAUGUCAAAUUCAAAUAAAAAUAUUGAAUUUGUAUUAGUGAAAGGAUGUAUGUAGGAUUGCGAAAUAUCAUUCACUCAAUCAAAGGUCUCAGAUUUUGAACCACAAUGCAGAAUUACUUUUGAUAAAGAACAUAUUUCCCCGUGUGUUCAAGUUAAUCUAUAAAUUUUGGAUGAACCCUCUCCCUAAAAGAAGAAAGAAGAAAAUAAAUGAUUGGUUAAAUAAUCUUCUAUAACCAGUUUAAAUAGAAAAAAAAGAUUAUUAUAUAACUAAUACUAAAAACACUUAUAAUUAACGAUUCGUAAAAUGGAAGUCCCAAAUUGAUUUAGUACAUUGGUUCACUUCUCCUUUCCAUGCCUUAUCCCUGAUCAAGGGAGUAAACUAUGGCUAAAACAUUGAUGGUCCAUUCAAUUCACCUAAAAUUUUACGGUUUUGCACAAGAUAAUUUUGUAUGUGGAUGAUGUUUAGCUCAACCCAUUUAAACUCUCUCCAAGUUAUUCCAAGGAAUGUUUAUAUUUUAGACUGUUUUUUAAUUUUUGCUCUUCAACAUUUUGUGUAUUAAAAAACAGUGACUUGACAUUAACAGUGAUAAAAAGGUGAC